rnacentral:Y_RNA from 1 species
GCAGCGAAUGCCACAGGUACUCCAUUGUGUCGCGGGUUCGAGCCCCGCCCCGGCAACGGGUAGCUCAGUCGGUAGAGCAAAUGUGCCUGUCCCCUUGUCGCUGCCAG